ensembl:lncRNA
UUAACUGAUCCUGCUGUGUGCAUGGGGAGGGCUGUUUGUGAUAUGCAGGGUAUUUAUGAUAUAUGGCAUCGCCUGUCUCUAACGUCUGCAAAUGAAGAAGAUGAUGGCACUGGUCAAGUUCACUCCAAAAAUGGAGAAGUGGAGGAGCAGAGAGGAAAAUUAUUUGUGCAGCAUUACACAGAAGGUCCACGACGAGGCCAGAAGGGGAACCCACGUUACUGACCUCUCGUCCGGUUCCCUGUCCCCGAGAGAGCACGGACGAUGCUGCAGCUCCUGGGCGUGCAGUCGCAUCCUCAUUCUUCUGCACACUCACAAGUGCAUUUUCCAGGGACACCACUGCAGGAGCCUCCCCCACCGCCUUGCAACUUAUAUUUAGCUCUGAAGACAAGGGUUAGCUUGACCUAGACGGCAGUCAAAGGGGAGGCCAGGCUGCUGUGGCCUGGAAAGAGGGAGGAAGAGCUAAAAGCAGUGGCUCUGUAGAAACUGCAGGAAAAUCUCUGACCUUGAGGUCCCCUGAGAGAAGAAGUUCUAACCCCAAUGAUGACAGAGUUGAAUUAAAAUAUGAAUGCUUCCAAAUAACUGUUGCCAGGAAGCGGAUGACAUGCUAAAUUACUCUGCAGACUGACUACUUAAUUCAGUGAUUUCCUGAGUCAGGAGUUGCCAGAAGAGCCAUUUUGUCCUUUUUGGCAGAAAAGCCGCGGGACUGCUGUCUCCAGUCCUCUUUCCUGUGCUUCCUGCGUAGGAAGGCCUGUUUCCUGCAGAGAGGUGCCUGAUUAGACAGCGCUAUUUUAGUAGGCUGGGGACAAGGGAGCGAGUGAGGUCUUUGGUUUGCUAUUGAGCUGUGGACAGUGUGGAGGCCACAUGCAGCACAGAAAGUACACAUCCUUUCAGAAAACGUGGAACAGUGAAUCAGAAGCAAAUUAGACCCAGAAAAUGUCCAAACGGUCAUGUUGCAACAUUAUUGUCUGUUUGGUUUUAAAUGUUUUGAGAUGCCUGGUUUAUUUUUUGUGUAAAGAACUCUGUUGCGGUCUUAAUGCAGUUCUUCGGAACUGAAUUUUAAGCAACGGGAUUAAUGUUUACCCAGUGGUUAUGAUGCCGCUGAGGGCUCUGAUGCUGGUGAGGGAUGACUUCCUGGCAGCAGAUGAGAGCGUUAGGUCUUGACCUGAGCCGGAGUGGGGAUUUUACAGAACCUGACUGAUGAGCUGUUUGUAUCCUGGCUUAGCACUACUCCUAUUCCUUUGACAGUUCCUCCACCUUGUCUCUAAAAGAAAUAAAGUGGCUGAAUAAGAUGCAUAUAAUUCAGCAACCUAAAUAAGCACAAAGGUCAGAACAUUCAGGCAAAAUGAAGAAAAGGGUAGGAAGCAAACUGGAAGACGAAAGAAUUUGUUCCCGAAACAGAGUGGGUGAAGAUUUGUUUCUUCUAAUACUCGGGUAAAGCUGUUGGGGACUGCUCCUAAAAAUCUAGUUUAUGAAUUGACUGGAUGAAACGCUACAUGGUAAACCAAUGAACACAUCUCACAUGCUGAAGUAUUUUUAAGAAGGCUGUCUGGGAAAUCAUGCCACUAUCUUCAGGAGGGGUCAGGAGUGACUUGAAGUGUGGGCAUCUCUUUAAAUCUGCACACCUUGGCUGGGCAUUGGGGACAUGUGCUGUAAGCUAUAAAGAAACAAAGUCCCCCGGGAAAUCGUGCUGGUCAUCCCUUCGAGUGGAGCCCAGAGGCGGGAAAACAUCUGAGCCAAACUUUCUCUUGACUCUGCUCAGAACUCACUGUGGGGUUCUGGGCAUUUCAUUUCCUCACAUGGGCAAUGUUGUGGGCCAUCUUGAUUCCUGGCCCUCCACCUCAAAGAGUAGCCCCCUGCAGUCGCUAAGUAAAGUGCGGAAAGCACACAGUGCAGUCAAUCCAGGCUGCGCUGGCAUCUCUUGGGGAGCCUGAAACCAUGCAUGCCGAUGCCUGAGCUCUAGCCCAAGAGUUCUGGUUAACCGGCCUGAGGAGGGGCCUGGACAUCUGUAUUUUGUAAAAGCCAUCCAGGUGAAUCUUAUAGAGCUAAGGGACCCGAGGUUGAGGACCACUACGCCAGAGUAGUAAGAUGAACACCAGCUCAGCAGCAGCAGCGCAGCCGCCACCACAGCAACCCCGAGAGCACCCGAAACAGUAACAGAGGAGCCAGCCUUGGCUGGGAGAGUGCCAGGAAAGGAAGAUGCUCGCUUGGAUCCAGGCUCCACCUGGCACUGGCUGGGACCACAGACUCACUCUUCAGUCAAUCAGCAGGCUAGCACACAUUUGUUCAGUGCGCGCUGUGUGCUGCACGGGGCAGCGGACGGGGCAUGCGGAGUAACAGGCCCCAGCCUCCCCCGGACACGCAGAGUCAGCAUGACAGAGGUGCGAACCGGAUACAGAGGGCACACAUUCCACCUGGGGUGUGACAGGAAAGACGAAAUAUUAUCGGAUGUUGUAGCAGGUCCUAAAAUACACAGACCCACAGACUGAAGAAUACUGUCCUCAGUCUGUAAAAGGCAAGCCUCGAUUGGAUUGGAUCAAGAUGGGGAGCGUUGGGAAAGGACAUUUCUUGCAAACAUCCACUAAAGGGGAAGGAGCAGUGGAGGUUGUAGCGGCUGGAUAUCAUUUCAGAAGAACCUGUCAUUUUUCCAGGAGAAGAGACUGUAAGAGGAAAGUCCUGGAGGGUGCAUAGGAUGUUGCUCAUUUAGCGGGAUAAAAGCCAGUCUGCAUGAGAAAUCGCGCAUUCUGAGCACUGCAGGGGCAGUGCUGGAUUUGUUCAAGGCUGAGAAAGGAUGCCUUAUCCCGGCGAUGCGGUUCACGGCAGGGCGAGCGGCAGUGACGGGGUACUGAGCACACACCUGGGAGCCUGAGAUGGGCGACCCUCACUGGCCAACUGAUCCAUCCCACCAGACUGCAGCCUCAGUUUCUCAGCUUGUAAAAGUUAUAUGAUACUUGCUUUAGAAUAAACUCAUGGGAUGUAGAAUUCAAAAUGAUAAAUAUUUUUAUCAAGUUUCUCCCGACCCCCUAACUUUUAGGGAUUUACUUCUCCCCUUGAAAACCAGAAAUAGUGGGAGAAACAAGAGAUGUGACUCUAAUAUUACUUGUCUUUACCAACAAUGUUAAUUUCUCUCUAAGGAGCUGGGCAAGUUACAUUGUAUUUGAUUCCUGACUACUGUCUCUAAACCGAGGAUUCAAAUUGUUAGACUCAAUUCAUGACCUUGUUGGAAAUUUCCAGCAAACCCGCUGCUCAAUCACCUUAACUAGGAGAAAAUAUUUUAUGAUAUAGUGGAAACAAAUGAUAACAGUGUUGAGAGGGACAAGCUUAACACACAGAAUCCAGACUUCACACGUUCACGUGGGGGAGAUAGAAGUCGCGGAGUAGGCUGAUUUCUGAUGGCAACCUGAUUUAAUUUGCAAUAUGACUGCAUCAGUGGCUGCUCAAAAAGCUGUUUCCAACAUUUUGCAUCAAUAUAGCAGCUCUGGGAUCCUGAAGAAAUUUGUAUUUGCUGUCUAAGACCGGAAGGGUGGAGGAAUACAGUGAUCAUAGGCCAGCAAGCCCUCGGAUCGACCCCGUACCCACGCCGACGGAGGAGAAGUGGACACGUGCUCAGUUAGAGAAGAGAACGGCACCUGCAGUCACCUGGGGCCAGAGGAUGUGGCAGACGCAUUUCAGCAGGCUUCUCAGUCCCAACAGGUCUCUCGAGAUGCGGGGCAGGCCCAGAGUCUAUGGGGCAUCUGUGGCAUGACUUGGCUGCUCGCUGCGCAGAGGAAGCGUCAAGCA